rnacentral:lncRNA from 1 species
CACACUUUUUGAGGUCUUUUUGGGUUGUAACGGGGCUUUGGUUUAGGUAGGGUAUGAAAUUGGAACAACGGUUUUUUGGGUCUUUUGGUUCAGAGUACAUGAAAUCAUUCUCUCACUACGUUUCUUUCCUAUUAUUCCUGUAGGGUUUUGCACUCCUCUUUUCCUUUUAUCUAUAGUGAAUGUAGCAUUUUUCAAAAGCUGUUAUUUUAUUGUUUUUCGCUUUUCUCUUUCUUUGUUGUUGUUUUUUUUUUCUCUUUUUUUUUCUUUUUUUCUUUUUUCUUUUAUACGACAUUCACUUACUAUUCACGUACUGCAAAGCUACCCCAAACUUAAAGGUUGCUAUUCCAACAGCAACCCCAAACUUAGCUAGAAACGUAGAGAUGAAAUCACUCCUCACAUACUCUGAACAAGGUAGGCUAGGUACAAGGUCAUGGAUUUAGAACAAACGGGUAUAUCAGAAAUAAAUGAUUAACAGGCUCAACAGGGUAGGAUAGGUACAAGGUCAUGGAUUUUGAAAAAAAAACGGGUAUAUCAAAAAUAAAUGAUUAACAGGCUCAACAGGGUAAAACAAUGGAUAAUGAUAAUAAUGGGAUGGCUAGAAAGGCUCUAGGUGAUAAACAAAACAUGCCUCAGUGU